CACGGAGGGUGCGAGCGUUAAUCGGAAUUACUGGGCGUAAAGCGCACGCAGGCGGUUUGUUAAGCUAGAUGUGAAAGCCCCGGGCUCAACCUGGGAUGGUCAUUUAGAACUGGCAGACUAGAGUCUUGGAGAGGGGAGUGGAAUUCCAGGUGUAGCGGUGAAAUGCGUAGAUAUCUGGAGGAACAUCAGUGGCGAAGGCGACUCCCUGGCCAAAGACUGACGCUCANGUGCGAAAGUGUGGGUAGCGAACAGG
rnacentral:rRNA from 1 species